GACAGAGGCCUCAAGCGUUAGGCGGAAUCACUGGGCUUAAAGCGUGUGUAGGCGGAUCGUUAAGUACCUUGUGAAAUCCCACGGCUCACCCGUGGAACUGCUGGGUAUACUGGCGGUCUUGGGCCAACUAGGGGCAGCUGGAACAAGCGGUGGAGCGGUGAAAUGCGUAGAUAUCAUUUGGAACGCCAAUGGUGAAAACAGGUAGCUGGGGCUGUACUGACACUGAGACACGAAAGCCAGGGGAGCAAACGGG
rnacentral:rRNA from 1 species